rnacentral:rRNA from 1 species
GCAAAAGCUCAAAUUUGAAAUCUGGCGUUUUUUUCAGGCGUCCGAGUUGUAAUUUGGAGGAGCGUCUUCGGGAGCUGGGCGUCGUUCUAAGUUCUUUUGGAACUGGACAUCAUAGAGGGUGAGAAUCCCGUGCCUGGACGGCCGCCCGUUUCCAUGUGAAGUGCUUCCAACGAGUCGAGUUGUUUGGGAAUGCAGCUCAAAAUGGGUGGUAAAUUUCAUCUAAAGCUAAAUAAUGGCGAGAGACCGAUAGCGCACAAGUAGAGUGAUCGAAAGAUGAAAAGCACUUUGAAAAGAGAGUUAAACAGUACGUGAAAUUGUUGAAAGGGAAGCGCUUGAGAUCAAUCUUGGUUAUUUUUUGGUGUAACCUGUACCAGGGCUUUAAAACUUUGGUAUAGAUCAUGUUGCAUCAAGCCAGGCCAGCAUCGGUUUUGAUAGUGGGAAAAAAUGGUUGGGGAAUGUGGCUCUUGCUUGCAAGAGUGUUAUAGCCCAGACUGUUGAUACCAUCAAUCGGGACCGAGGAAGGCGCCUCUUUUAUGGGGCUAGGAUGUUGGCAUAAUGAUCUUCAGCGACCC